CCUACGGGAGGCAGCAGUGAGGAAUAUUGGUCAAUGGCCGGAAGCCUGAACCAGCCAAGUAGCGUGCAGGAUGACGGCCCUACGGUUUGUAAACUGCUUUUAUACGGGAAUAACGCGCCUUACGUGUAGGUCUUUGCAUGUACCCUAUGAAUAAGGACCGGCUAAUUCCGUGCCAGCAGCCGCGGUAAUACGGAAGGUCCGGGCGUUAUCCGGAUUUAUUGGGUUUAAAGGGAGCGUAGGUCGCUUGUUAAGUCGGCGGUGAAAUUUUGGGGCUCAACCAUGGCAUUGCCGUGGAAACUGGCGGGCUUGAGUCCGUGGAAGGUAGGCGGAAUUCGUGGUGUAGCGGUGAAAUGCAUAGAUAUGACGAAGAACCCCGAUUGCGAAGGCAGCUUGCU
rnacentral:rRNA from 1 species